rnacentral:rRNA from 1 species
UACGUAGGUGGCGAGCGUUAUCCGGAUUUAUUGGGCGUAAAGCGUGCGCAGACGGUUUGUUAAGUCUAAAAUUAAAGCCCGAAGCUUAACUUCGGUUCGUUUUAGAAACUGGCAGGCUAGAGUAUAGUAGAGGCAAAUGGAAUUUCUAGUGUAGCGGUAGAAUGCGUAGAUAUUAGAAGGAACACCAGUGGCGAAGGCGAUUUGCUGGGCUAUUACUGACGUUCAUGCACGAAAGCGUGGGGAGCAAAUA